rnacentral:rRNA from 1 species
AUGGAGGGACUACUUCACUAGGAUUUCUCGAUCGGCCUUGCGGUCGCGGCUCAGGUGAGUCGUCUUUUUGGUUCCACGGUCCAUUUCUUGCCUUCUGGUCCGACCAAAGAAUAAUUCUUGGUUGUGAGUUUCUCGUCAGCGGUGUUUCCUCUCAAUGAAGAAUAUGUGGCUAUUGCACUCCAAUGUUGCAUUGGAGGACUACCUUUGGGUCUUAGAGUGAUUCAUCUUGAUGGGAGGAGAUUUAGGUUUUCGGUUGCUUCCAACAAAGUGGGACAUUUUAUCUAUGGUCUUAAGGACAGGGUUUGGCUGGACUUUGUGUGCCAUUUGAUCCUUUUCCGGCCAGGUGUUCAUUCUUCGCCAGUAACCACUAGUUGGCAUUGGGAUCAACAAAGCCCUGAGGUAACAACUCGUUCUCUGGUGGCCAUCAGGACAAAACUUACUUUUUUGCACAAGAAUGUGCAGCUGGAUAAUACUUUUUGGACACGCUCACAAAAAUUGGGUUUUUUUCCUCCACCGGGUCACUCUGACAAGCCGGAGACCUCGUCGUGCGGCAGCACUCCGGUCAUCGCCGGCUACCCGACAUGUUUCUUUGGAAAGAAAGACAAUUUUGAAUCCACCCACUAA